UACAGAGGGGGCAAGCGUUGUUCGGAUUCAUUGGGCGUAAAGGGUGCGUAGGCGGCGCGGUAAGUCGGGUGUGAAAUCUCGGGGCUUAACUCCGAAACUGCAUUCGAUACUGCCGUGCUUGAGGACUGGAGAGGAGACUGGAAUUUACGGUGUAGCGGUGAAAUGCGUAGAUAUCGUAAGGAAGACCAGUGGCGAAGGCGGCAUCCUGGACCGGCAUUGACGCUGAGGCGCGAAAGCUAGGGGAGCAAACGGG
rnacentral:rRNA from 1 species